AAAUGAAUAGACGGGGGCCCGCACAAGCGGCGGAGCAUGUGGCUUAAUUCGACGCAACGCGAAGAACCUUACCAAGGCUUGACAUCGUAUUGACAAGUACAGAAAUGUACCUCCUUCGGGCAGUAUGACAGGUGGUGCAUGGCUGUCGUCAGCUCGUGUCGUGAGAUGUUGGGUUAAGUCCCGCAACGAGCGCAACCCUUGUCCCAUGUUGCCAUCACUUAGGGUGGGCACUCUUGGGAGACUGCCGGUGUAAAACUGGAGGAAGGUGGGGAUGACGUCAAGUCAUCAUGCCCUUUAUGCCUUGGGCUGCACACGUGCUACAAUGGCUGGUACAAAGAGAAGCGAUACUGCGAAGUGGAGCGAAUCUCAUAAAGCCAGUCUAAGUCCGGAUUGAAAGCUGCAACUCGCUUUCAUGAAGUCGGAGUCGCUAGUAAUCGUGGAUCAGAAUGCCACGGUGAAUACGUUCCCGGGCCUUGUACACACCGCCCGU
rnacentral:rRNA from 1 species